CUACGGAGGGUGCAAGCGUUGUUCGGAAUCACUGGGCGUAAAGGGCGCGCAGGCGGUUUGGUAAGUCAGAUGUGAAAGCCCACGGCUCAACCGUGGAAGUGCAUUUGAAACUGCCAGACUUGAGUACCAGAGGGGAAAGUGGAAUUCCCGGUGUAGAGGUGAAAUUCGUAGAUAUCGGGAGGAAUACCGGUGGCGAAGGCGACUUUCUGGCUGGAUACUGACGCUGAGGCGCGAAAGCGUGGGGAGCAAACAGGAUUAGAAACCCUUGUAGUCC
rnacentral:rRNA from 1 species